rnacentral:rRNA from 1 species
GAUGAACGCUGGCGGCGUGCCUAAUACAUGCAAGUCGAGCGAACAGAUGAGGAGCUUGCUCCUCUGACGUUAGCGGCGGACGGGUGAGUAACACGUGGAUAACCUACCUAUAAGACUGGGAUAACUUCGGGAAACCGGAGCUAAUACCGGAUAAUAUAUUGAACCGCAUGGUUCAAUAGUGAAAGACGGUUUUGCUGUCACUUAUAGAUGGAUCCGCGCCGCAUUAGCUAGUUGGUAAGGUAACGGCUUACCAAGGCAACGAUGCGUAGCCGACCUGAGAGGGUGAUCGGCCACACUGGAACUGAGACACGGUCCAGACUCCUACGGGAGGCAGCAGUAGGGAAUCUUCCGCAAUGGGCGAAAGCCUGACGGAGCAACGCCGCGUGAGUGAUGAAGGUCUUCGGAUCGUAAAACUCUGUUAUUAGGGAAGAACAAAUGUGUAAGUAACUAUGCACGUCUUGACGGUACAUAAUCAGAAAGCCACGGCUAACUACGUG